GAUGAACGCUGGCGGUAUGCCUAACACAUGCAAGUCGUACGAGGGUUUCAUACCCAAGUGGCGGACGGGUGAGUAACACGUGAGAAUUUACCCUAAGGAGGGGGACAACAGCUGGAAACGGCUGCUAAUACCCCAUAUACUUUCGAGUGAGAUAGAUUUUUCUGCCUUAGGAAAAGCUCGCGGCUGAUUAGCUAGUUGGUGAGGUAAUGGCUCACCAAGGCGACGAUCAGUAUCUGGUUUGAGAGGACGAUCAGACACACUGGAACUGAGACACGGUCCAGACUCCUACGGGAGGCAGCAGUGGGGAAUUUUCCGCAAUGGGCGAAAGCCUGACGGAGCAAUACCGCGUGAAGGAAGACGGCCUAUGGGUUGUAAACUUCUUUUUUCAGGGAGGAACUAAAUGACGUGUACCUGAAGAAUAAGCAUCGGCUAACUCCGUGCCAGCAGCCGCGGUAAGACGGAGGAUGCAAGUGUUAUCCGGAAUCACUGGGCGUAAAGCGUCUGUAGGUGGUUUAAUAAGUCGACUGUUAAAUCUUGAGGCUUAACCUCAAAAUCGCAUUCGAAACUAUUAGACUUGAGUAUAGUAGAGGUAAAGGGAAUUUCCAGUGGAGCGGUGAAAUGCGUAGAUAUUGGAAAGAACACCGAUGGCGAAGGCACUUUACUGGGCUAUUACUGACACUCAGAGACGAAAGCUAGGGUAGCAAAUGGGAUUAGAUACCCCAGUAGUCCUAGCCGUAAACAAUGGAUACUAGAUGUUGGACAGAUCGACCUGUGCAGUAUCAAAGCUAACGCGUUAAGUAUCCCGCCUGGGAAGUAUGCUCGCAAGAGUG
rnacentral:rRNA from 1 species